rnacentral:rRNA from 1 species
UGCGUAGGUGGCCAUGUAAGCGCGGGGUGAAAGGCAAUAGCUUAACUAUUGUAAGCCUUGCGAACUGUAUGGCUUGAGUGCAGGAGAGGAAAGUGGAAUUCCUAGUGUAGCGGUGAAAUGCGUAGAUAUUAGGAGGAACACCAGUGGCGAAGGCGACUUUCUGGACUGUAACUGACACUGAGGCACGAAAGCGUGGGGAGCAAACA